ACAGACCAGAGGAACCAGAGAGAGCAGCAGUGAGUACUGCUCCAGAGAUUCAGAACCUGCAGAGUCAGUCAGUCCAGAGCCAGAGGUGAGUGGAACUAAACUUAUGACUUUUAAUGGAACCACAAACUGCUUUUAACAUAUCUCAUGCAUCAUGUUUAUGCCAUAGGUUGAUUGCAUUAGUAUUCACGAAUAUGUUGCAUUGCAUUGUUUAUUUGAUGAUGUGAGUAAAUGCUGAAUGAUCCAAUAGUCACAGACAGGAAGACCAGGAGCCUUUGACUACGCCCUGGCACGUAUAGCAAAGACCAGGAGCCUUUGACUACGCCCUGGCAGGUAUAUAGUAAAGUCCAGGAGCCUUUGACUACGCCCUGGCAAUGGUAAGUUCACAGGUGUUAUAUACACAUAUACAUAUAUGACAGGAAGACCAGGUGCUCGAUUCUACGCCCUGGCACAGAGUUACUGGGACUAUGUGGUGACAGGUUUACUCUUGAUGUGGCUUGUUUGUGUUAUGGCGCAUUUCAUGAGAUCAUAUUUUACUGAGAUGUUUUACUGUUCUACUCACUGGGCUAUAGAGCUCAUCCCACUCCCUUAACCCCAGUUUUGCAGGUUCAGUGUACAGUGUACAGGGACAGUCCAGCAGAGUACAGGAAGAGAGAAGAGAUCUGUAAUAGCUUAGAGUGGACAUGUAAAAUUAAAGAGAUGUAAUAGUUGUUGCUUGACCUAGACCUAGUGAUGUAUGUAUUGUAC
rnacentral:lncRNA from 1 species